rnacentral:misc_RNA from 1 species
GAUGAAGAACGUAGCGAAAUGCGAUACUUGGUGUGAAUUGCAGAAUCCCGUGAACCAUCGAGUCUUUGAACGCAAGUUGCGCCCGAAGCCAUUAGGCCGAGGGCACGCCUGCCUGGGCGUCACACGUCGUUGCCCCCCCAUCUACUCCUUCGGGAUUGCGGGGGGCGGAUGAUGGCCUCCCGUGCGCCUCGUCGCGCGGUUGGCAUAAAUGCCAAGUCCUCGGCGACACACGCCACGACAAUCGGUGGUUGCGAAACCUCGGUUGCCCGUCGUGUGCGGUCGUCGCGCAUCGAGGGCUCGAAAAAAUUGCCGGGCUCCGGCUCGGCUUUCAACGCGACCCCAGGUCAGGCGGGGUUACCCGCUGAAUUUAAGCAUAUCAAUAAGCCGGAGGA